rnacentral:rRNA from 1 species
CGGGGUGAGUAACGCGUGGAAAACCUGCCGUAUACUGGGGGAUAACACUUAGAAAUAGGUGCUAAUACCGCAUAAGCGCACAGCUUCGCAUGAAGUGGUGUGAAAAACUCUGGUGGUAUACGAUGGUUCCGCGUCUGAUUAGCUUGUUGGUGGGGUAAUGGCUCACCAAGGCGACGAUCAGUAGCCGGCCUGAGAGGGUGAACGGCCACAUUGGGACUGAGACACGGCCCAAACUCCUACGGGAGGCAGCAG